CUAGACCUGAAAUCAGUCGAGGACACCCGCUGAAUUUAAGCAUAUUAUUAAGCGGAGGAAAAGAAAAUAACUAUGAUUCCCCUAGUAACGGCGAGUGAAGAGGGAGGUGCUCAAAGUGAAAAUCGUGGUACCUCU
rnacentral:rRNA from 1 species